AUACGGAGGGUGCGGGCGUUAAUCGGAAUUACUGGGCGUAAAGCGUACGUAGGCGGUUGGUUAAGUUAGAUGUGAAAGCCCCGGGCUUAACCUGGGAACUGCAUUUAAAACUGGCGAACUAGAGUUGAGUAGAGGGGAGUGGAAUUUCAGGUGUAGCGGUGAAAUGCGUAGAGAUCUGAAGGAACACCAGUGGCGAAGGCGACUCCCUGGACUCGAACUGACGCUGAGGUACGAAAGCGUGGGUAGCAAACGGGAGUAGAAACCCGGGUAGUCC
rnacentral:rRNA from 1 species